CCUACGGGAGGCAGCAGUGGGGAAUAUUGCACAAUGGGCGAAAGCCUGAUGCAGCGACGCCGCGUGAGGGAUGAAGGUCUUCGGAUUGUAAACCUCUUUCAGUAGGGACGAAGCGAAAGUGACGGUACCUAAAGAAGAAGCACCGGCUAACUACGUGCCAGCAGCCGCGGUAAUACGUAGGGUGCAAGCGUUGUCCGGAUUUAUUGGGCGUAAAGAGCUCGUAGGCGGUUAGACACGUCGGAUGUGAAAACUGGUGGCUCAACCACCAGCCUGCAUUCGAUACGGUCUGACUUGAAUGUGGUAGGGGUAACUGGAAUUCCUGGUGUAGCGGUGAAAUGCGCAGAUAUCAGGAGGAACACCGAUGGCGAAGGCAGGUUACUGGGCCAAUAUUGACGCUGAGGAGCGAAAGCGUGGGGAGCGAACAGGAUUAGAUACCCCAGUAGUC
rnacentral:rRNA from 1 species